rnacentral:rRNA from 1 species
GGUUUUCGGAUCGUAAACUCCUGUCAGAAGGGAAGAACCGUCACAGUUCGAAUAGGGCUGUGACCUGACGGUACCUUCAAAGGAAGCACCGGCUAACUCCGUGCCAGCAGCCGCGGUAAUACGGAGGGUGCAAACGUUGCUCGGAAUCACUGGGCGUAAAGGGUGCGUAGGCGGCCCGAUAAGUCAGAUGUGAAAGCCCUCGGCUCAACCGAGGAAUUGCAUUUGAUACUGUCGGGCUUGAGUUCGGUAGAGGAAAGCGGAAUUCCUGGUGUAGCGGUGAAAUGCGUUGAUAUCAGGAGGAACACCGGUGGCGAAGGCGGCUUUCUGGGCCGAUACUGACGCUGAGGCACGAAAGCGUGGGGAGCAAACAGGAUUAGAUACCCUGGUAGUCCACGCCGUAAACGAUGAGAACUAGAUGUCGGGGGGAUUUAGCCCUUCGGUGUCGCAGCUAACGCGUUAAGUUCUCCGCCUGGGGAGUACGCCGGCAACGGUAAAACUCAAAGGAAUUGACGGGGACCCGCACAAGCGGUGGAGCAUGUGGUUUAAUUCGAUGCAACGCGAAGAACCUUACCUGCCCUUGACAUCCUCGGAACUUGUCAGAGAUGACUUGGUGCCUUCGGGAACUGAGUGACAGGUGCUGCAUGGCUGUCGUCAGCUCGUGUCGUGAGAUGUUGGGUUAGGUCCCGCAACGAGCGCAACCCUUGUCCCUAGUUGCCAGCA